AGCAAUUCUGUGCUUUGGAACUUCGGCAAUUCAGCUAUUCGGACAUUCGGAAGCAUCCGAAUUUCCCGAAAUUCGUCCAAACUGACAUUCGGAACGAAACGAAUUGCACAUGUCUAAUUGGUAUCUAACAUUGCAGUGAUUUGUGUUUGUUAUUUAAUUUCUGUUAACAAAUAGCCCACACCCAGUGGCAUCAUAAUUUAAGUGUGUUAGGCAUUAGACAUAGCCUGUUAG